UUCGCAAUGCCCGAAAGGGUGACGAAGCGACGCCGCGUGUGGGAAGAAGGCCUUCGGGUUGUAAACCACUGUUGGGAGUUAGGAAGUGUGGAGGUGUUAAUAGCGCUUUCACUUGACUAAAGCUCCAGAGGAAGCCACGGCUAACUCUGUGCCAGCAGCCGCGGUAAUACAGAGGCGGCAAGCGUUGUUCGGAAUUAUUGGGCGUAAAGAGCACGUAGGCGGCUCUGCAAGUCAGCUGUGAAAGCCUUCUGCUUAACGGAAGAACGGCAGUUGAAACUACAGGGCUUGAGUGCGGGAGGGGAGAGUGGAACUUCUGGUGGAGCGGUGAAAUGCGUAGAUAUCAGAAGGAACGCCGGCGGCGAAAGCGGCUCUCUGGUCCGUAACUGACGCUGAGUGUGCGAAAGCUAGGGGAGCAAACGGGAUUAGAUACCCCGGUAGUCCUAGCCGUAAACGAUGGGCACUAAGUAGAGGGGUUUUA
rnacentral:rRNA from 1 species